rnacentral:lncRNA from 1 species
UUUGCUGAUUCUUAAUGAUUGCUUCCUUAAUUGAAACCCCUGUGCGUUCACCCCUAAUUCAAAUCUCUGUACUCGAUUUCCUUCUUUAAUUAUCUAUCCGCUUUUACCAUUGAUUAUCCUUUGAUUAAUGGGAAGACUUACUGAUUUUACAUGUGAUGAUUCCGUGAAUUUCUCUAAUUACUACAUAAUUGAUCCCUUACCUUAUUUUGCUAAGCUUUUGAUUACUAUAUAAAUCCCUCAUAUUCUCACUUCUAACAACGAACAUUAGUCAAAAAAAGCACGCUUACACUCUAUUGCUCUCUUUUUCUCCUCUGCUACUUGUGAUAUUCACUAGACUAGCUGGCUGAAAGCCAAGGCUAAAUAUUAGAACUUCAUCUACUUUAUAUUUUGCACUCUUUUCUUCAACUGGUAUUUCUCUAGUUAAAUUUUGAAAUCCAAACCCUAUGUGUUCCAUUCCUGGACUAGUUCAUCGGCUAUGAAUUCAACUUGCAUUCCUGCUUACUUCUUUGCUUAUCAUGUCUAAACUCUG